CACGGGGGGAGCAAGCGUUGUUCGGAAUCACUGGGCGUAAAGGGCGUGUAGGCGGUCAGGUUAGUGAGAUGUGAAACGCCCCGGCUCACCCGGGGACCUGCAUCUCAAACUGCCUGGCUUGAGUAUGGGAGAGGAUGAGGGAAUUCCUGGUGUAGCGGUGAAAUGCGUAGAUAUCAGGAGGAACACCGGUGGCGAAAGCGGGUCUCUGGGCCGAUACUGACGCUGAGGAGCGAAAGCGUGGGGAGCAAACAGG
rnacentral:rRNA from 1 species